rnacentral:rRNA from 1 species
UACGGGAGGCAGCAGUAGGGAAUCUUCCACAAUGGACGCAAGUCUGAUGGAGCAACGCCGCGUGAGUGAAGAAGGGUUUCGGCUCGUAAAGCUCUGUUGGUAGUGAAGAAAGAUAGAGGUAGUAACUGGCCUUUAUUUGACGGUAAUUACCUAGAAAGUCACGGCUAACUACGUGCCAGCAGCCGCGGUAAUACGUAGGUGGCAAGCGUUGUCCGGAUUUAUUGGGCGUAAAGCGAGUGCAGGCGGUUCAAUAAGUCUGAUGUGAAAGCCUUCGGCUCAACCGGAGAAUUGCAUCAGAAACUGUUGAACUUGAGUGCAGAAGAGGAGAGUGGAACUCCAUGUGUAGCGGUGGAAUGCGUAGAUAUAUGGAAGAACACCAGUGGCGAAGGCGGCUCUCUGGUCUGCAACUGACGCUGAGGCUCGAAAGCAUG